AAAAGAAAAAGGAGCACAUAAAAACCCCCAGACAUAAACACACAGUCACAGACACACUCCCUCAUACAGAAGAAUCUAUUUAUUUAUUGUAUGUGAAAAAAAAUAAUGGUGAAGAGGUUUACAUUGAUUGAAACAAUAGCAUCUGCGGCUCUCUUUUCAGGCGUUUCCUUCUGGUAUGGAUUUAUGAUCGGCAGAGAAACAUCUCGGAAGGAAUUAGGUGAUUUAAUCGCCGAUCUUCGCCGUCAAACUCCUGAUCCUAAUCCUCCUCAAACUUCUUAAUUUCUGUGGCCUGGUGCUUUUGACCACAGAACAUAGCUUCAAGUUGGGGGCUUUGAGAAAUCAACUAACGUCAUGUUUUAUUAUCCUUUUUAGAAGUCAUGCCUGAGUUCUGCUACAAAGAGAAGUAUCAUGUUUUUGAGGGCAUUUUGAUUAGGAUUUUGUAUUUUUAACCUAACUCUCAAAUGUGCCCUUAAGGGGAAGGUGGCUGUAACAUUGAAUUACAUAUGGAGUGAAAUUAAUACCUAGUUUGGAUUAGCUCAGUUACGAGCUUCAUAGUUC